rnacentral:SRP_RNA from 1 species
GCCGGGCGCGGUGGCGCGCGCCUGUAGUCCCAGCUGCUCGGGCGGCUGAGGCAGGAGGAUCGCUGGCAUGAGGAUCGCUGAGGCAGGAGUCCUGGGCUGUAGUGCGCUAUGCCGAUCUAUGUCCGCACUAAGUUCGGCAUCAAUAUGGUGACCUCCUGGGAGCGGGGGACCACCAGGUUGCCUAAGGAGGGGUGAACCGGCCCAGGUCAGAAACGGAGCAGGUCAAGGAUAUAAAAGAGGGGCUCCUGGGCGGCUCAGAUGGUUGAUCGUCUGACUUAUGCCCAGGUCAUGAUCUCACGGUUGGCGAAUUCAAGCCCU